rnacentral:rRNA from 1 species
CACGUAGGGUCCGAGCGUUGUCCGGAAUUACUGGGCGUAAAGCGUGCGCAGGCGGUUGGGUCAGUCGCUGGUGAAAGCCCCACGCUCAACGUGGGAAUGGCCAACGAGACGGCCCGACUGGGAGGCAGGGAGAGGCCGGGUGGAAUUCCGGGUGUAGUGGUAGAAAUGCGCAGAUAGUCGGGAGGAACACCCGUAGCGAAGGCGGCACUCUGGGCCGGAACUGACGCUGAGGAGCGAAAGCGUGGGGAGC